UUUCCUUAACGUUUUUUAGAUAUACUUUUGCCGAUGUUCACAGCUAAUUUUAUUGGUAUAGCUUUCAGUAGGUCUCUACACUACCAGUUUUAUGUGUGGUAUUUCCACACAUUACACUAUCUUCUGUGGUGUACCACUCUCAAAACCACAGUCAAAUUAUGCCUGUUGGGUGUCGUUGAGCUGUGUUGGAACACUUUCCCUUCUACUCCAUGGAGCAGUUCGUUGUUACAGCUGUGUCAUGCGGUACUACUUGUCAGUUUGUGGAGGAUUAAUAGCUAUGUAUACCCAUCAACGGAGAAGCAACAACAGUAAUAUUAAAAGUUUGUUGUAUGUGUGUGAACACACUGAUAUUGAGAAAUUUAAAAUAUGAAACUAUUAAUUUAUACAUGCACGUCAAACCCAAUGAACUACACAACAAAACAAGAUUCAAACGUUGAAUUCUGAUUUGUUUUACCCCUAAAACAAACACCAAAAAUAAAAUAUAUUUUUUAUCUAGUC